rnacentral:rRNA from 1 species
AUUGAACGCUGGCGGAAUGCUUUACACAUGCAAGUCGAACGGUAGAGGGGGCAACCCCUCGAGAGUGGCGAACGGGUGAGUAAUAUAUCGGAACGUGCCCAGUCGUGGGGGAUAACGUAGCGAAAGUUACGCUAAUACCGCAUACGACCUAAGGAAGAAAGCGGGGGAUCGCAAGACCUCGCGCGAAUGGAGCGGCCGAUAUCAGAUUAGGUAGUUGGUGGGGUAAAGGCUCACCAAGCCAACGAUCUGUAGCUGGUCUGAGAGGACGAACAGCCACACUGGAACUGAGACACGGUCCAGACUCCUACGGGAGGCAGCAGUGGGGAAUUUUGGACAAUGGACGCAAGUCUGAUCCAGCCAUUCCGCGUGCAGGAUGAAGGCCCUCGGGUUGUAAACUGCUUUUGUACGGAACGAAAAGGUCUCUCUUAAUACGGGGGACUCAUGACGGUACCGUAAGAAUAAGCACCGGCUAACUACGUGCCAGCAGCCGCCGUAA